AGCAGCCCCUGGUAUAUCCAGGACAUCAGCACAUAGAACCAGUGAAAGGGUCCUCCCUCAUAGUGACGCAUGUCAUAGACUCAGAUUUAUACAAACAAAUGCUGAGCAAACCAUGAAGAGUCUCUGGUAUUUUCAACAAUAUCAUCACAGAGGAACUGUAUUGAUUUCCUUCCUUCAGUGGUCCAAGAACCUGCUGCUCCCGGGUCCUCUCAUUUGAAGACACCCACCGCCUAAGGAUGAAGAGAAGCUCCUUCUUGCAGAUCUGAGGCUGAUUUCCCAACUCCCAGGAACACCCUACCCACAGCCUGUUCCCCAGACCCAGGAAUUCUUGACCAAGACUACAAAUGUAGCCCAUUUGACAUCGAAAACAUUGGGACAGGUGUGAGAGUGAGGAAAAUGGGGAGAAAAAAGAACUUUGAAGACAAGGAUUUGAAGUUAGCAUGAAGCAUGGAAAGGAGGAAGGGCAAGCUUUCUGCAGUGAGGACAGUGCCUGCCAGAGAAAACCAGAUCCUGGGGAGGGGUUUCUCCAGAAAGAGAAAGUCAAAGCUGCAGGU
rnacentral:lncRNA from 1 species